CCUGAAACACACACAGGUUACACACACACACAACGGUCCAAAUACAAGGUCCAGUCCACAGCUGAAACACACACACACACACACACACAACGGUCCAAAUACAAGGUCCAGUCCACAGCUGCUGCUGGGUGUUACCUCUUCAUGGUCACCACGGCAUCAAUGUCAUGGUUGUCCUCUUUGGUCUCCAGGUCUCUCAGAACAAUCUGCAGAUAAGAGAGAUCUGUUGGUUCUCUGGUGGAGGGGUUGUGUGUGUGUGUGUUUACGUACCUUGGCCAGUCUCGGUGGUUCUCUGGUGAAGGGGUUGUGUGUGUGUGUUUACGUACCUUGGCCAGUCUCGGUGGUUCUCUGGUGAAGGGGUUGUGUGUGUGUGUUUACGUACCUUGGCCAGUCUCGGUGGUUCUCUGGUGGAGGGGUUGUGUGUGUGUUUACGUACCUUGGCCAGUCUCUCUGGCUGCUCUGUGGUUUUCUGGUAAAGCUCCAGACAGAGGGAUGCCAGGCGGCCAGGACCAGACAGGAUGUGAUGUCGCCGAGCAGGAAGGGGCGUGCCCGAGGGGAGGAGCACAGAGAACA